rnacentral:rRNA from 1 species
ACACAUGCAAGUCGAACGUGAAAGCACUUCGGGUGUGAGUAGAGUGGCGGACGGGUGAGUAACGCGCUGGGAAUCUACCCAGUAGUGGGGGACAACUACCGGAAACGGUAGCUAAUACCGCAUACGCCCUAUUGGGGAAAGGCUUCGGCCGCUAUUGGAUGAGCCCGCGUCAGAUUAGCUAGUUGGUAGGGUAAAGGCCUACCAAGGCAACGAUCUGUAGCUGGUCUGAGAGGACGAACAGCCACACUGGGACUGAGACACGGCCCAGACUCCUACGGGAGGCAGCAGUGGGGAAUAUUGGACAAUGGGCGAAAGCCUGAUCCAGCAAUGCCGCGUGUGUGAAGAAGGCCUGCGGGUUGUAAAGCACUUUCAGUUGGGAAGAUGAUGACGUUACCAACAGAAGAAGCACCGGCUAAAUCCGUGCCAGCAGCCGCGGUAAUACGGAUGGUGCGAGCGUUAAUCGGAAUUACUGGGCGUAAAGCGCGCGUAGGCGGCUAAGUCAGUCAGAAGUGAAAGCCCCGGGCUCAACCUGGGAAUUGCUUUUGAUACUGCUUAGCUAGAGUUUGGUAGAGGAUAGUGGAAUUCCAGAUGUAGCGGUGAAAUGCGUAGAUAUCUGGAGGAACAUCAGUGGCGAAGGCGACUGUCUGGACCAAAACUGACGCUGAGGUGCGAAAGCGUGGGUAGCAAACAGGAUUAGAUACCCUGGUAG